rnacentral:rRNA from 1 species
AGUGAACGCUGGCGGUACGCCUAACACAUGCAAGUCGAACGGCAGCACAGUAAGAGCUUGCUCUUACGGGUGGCGAGUGGCGGACGGGUGAGGAAUACAUCGGAAUCUACUUUUUCGUGGGGGAUAACGUAGGGAAACUUACGCUAAUACCGCAUACGACCUACGGGUGAAAGCAGGGGAUCUUCGGACCUUGCGCGAUUGAAUGAGCCGAUGUCGGAUUAGCUAGUUGGCGGGGUAAAGGCCCACCAAGGCGACGAUCCGUAGCUGGUCUGAGAGGAUGAUCAGCCACACUGGAACUGAGACACGGUCCAGACUCCUACGGGAGGCAGCAGUGGGGAAUAUUGGACAAAGGGCGCAAGCCUGAUCCAGCCAUACCGCGUGGGUGAAGAAGGCCUUCGGGUUGUAAAGCCCUUUUGUUGGGAAAGAAAAGCAGCAGGUUAAUACCCCGCUGUUCUGACGGUACCCAAAGAAUAAGCACCGGCUAACUUCGUG